UUCGUACAUGCCUCUGAAUUAAACACCUAUUUUCUGAUUUAAGAAUUGUAAAAGCACUAAUUAGGUCUUGGAUGUUUCCAGCAGAUAGGAAACACAGGAGGUAAUGUAUCUGCUCCUUUGAGCAAUUCCUUCAUCCAAUGUGAGAAUGAAUACAUAUAGAUUGUGCUGGAUGUUGUCGAUCAAUUCCAGCUAGGAAGUAACACGAGAACUGCAGCAUGAACCAGCUAGACUACCUAUCAGAUAAAAAUCUCAAUUGUAUCUGUGCAUUUUGAAUUUUGAUGAGAAGAUUUGUACUCCCAUGAGGCGUGAGCAAUUAAACUUCACCGCUUUGUGCCAGUGGCCUGAUGCUUCUUCAAGUGCUGAAAUCCUCUUAACAAGUUCUACUUUCUGCAAAAUUUGAUGUCUUUUUGAGUUUCAAACAUGCUUAAGAGCUUCUGCUAUGUACUUAAAAUGAUUGUUAUGUGAUAUUCAUUCUUUUGGAAUUUGAUGUUUUCCUUCAUGUAAGUAAGAUGAUAUUUGUGUGAUAUUUAUUCUUUCAAGUUUGAUAUUUAUAUUGGAUAUUCCUCAGCCUUAAAAUGUUUCAGGUCAAAAAGGAAGAGAAGAAUGUUACAAGAACAGUACUUAACAGUAUAGUGGGAACGUUGGACCUGUCCAUCCGCAAAUUUGUACAAAGGGAGAGAUACCCAGGGGAAAUCAAAAGGUUAUCAGUUGUCAUGGCACAUCAAGAACCCUUUGAUUCACAUAAAUAUGUUAUAUGCAUACAUUGCAAAUGUUUGUGUUGCAAAGUUUGCUCGUCGUCAGGGUAUUGCUUCAAAUAUAAUACAUUUGGCUGCUAAUAUGGCCGCAUUAGAAGGUUUCAAGCAACUAUUUGUUCAUGUAAAUGCAGACAACAUACCUGGCCAGGAAUUAUAACAAAAACACAGCUUUAAGAUCGUGGAAGCCGGCUCAUCGUCUCUAUCAAAAGAACAGAGGAUACUGAUGUCGUUGGAUUUAUAAUUUCCCUUAGCUACUUCACUUCCAGACUAAAGAGGAUGUGUUGGUUUGUACAUUUACAUGGUUUGAAGCCAAUAUCUUAUUGGUUGAUGUAUGUAUUAUUGGGUAGACAGACAACUAGUUAGUU